rnacentral:lncRNA from 1 species
AUGACAUCAGGCAGUUCUGCUUGUGAGACACAGCUCAGUGGUGCAAGCAUCCCUUCUGGCCAACACUCUGUUGCAGAGCUUGGUGACCAUGCCCAUGACUUGGAACUCAAUGUUUUCUCUACAGACUUAUCCAGAGACACCGAAUUGAGAGCAGAGUGUCAGUCAUUUGGUCCCACACCAGACAGCCCUGUGCAUGAGGUGCAAUGUGUCGGAGGUUAAUGCAGCACUGUGAAAGAGGGGAUUGGAGAAGUUGGUGUCCAACACCAGGAGGUGUCACCCCCUAUGUUCUCAACAGACCUUGCCAGUGGUCAGUGAUAGUUUUGAGUAAAUGUUGUUAACUUCUGGCAAUGCAUGUCAUGCCUGCUAAGGGUUUGCAGCAUAAAAAACAUGUGGCAAUAUGAGGCCAUUUUUAAUCAGGGAUGUGAGUUGAGUAUCUUAUGGCUAUAUUUGGUUUUAUGACUUGAGGAAAGUUAAGCACUGAAUCUCCCCUGUUUUCCCUCGUACAGAGACCAAAUCAGGAUUGGAGUGCCAAUCAUCCAUAGCCGCACCAAACGACUCUGCUUGUGAGGUGAGUUUGAAUUUACCUCUGUUUUGAAAUUGACCAAUGGUUAGAAGUACUGUGAUGUUCCAUGGAACACAAUUGUCAGUAUUUUAGUAGUUUAUUUUAUGUGUUUGGGACAGUGCAUGUUAAUGAACACACGUCUCUGGAUUGAAAGUAAGUAAAGUGAGGAAACAUCUUGAAGCUACAGUAGAAAUGUCCUCUAUUCAGUAUGGAUGGUCUUUACUAACCAUGGUGCCCCCCCAACACUGGUGUUUUUCUGAGUUUGCCAUACACUGGGAGUUAAAUAGUGGCAAUGUUCUUUAUUCAGCAUAGAUGGUCCUUACUAACUAUGGUGUCCCCCUAACACUGGUGUUUUUCUGAGUGUGCCAUACACUGGGAGUUAAAUAGUGGAAAUGUUCUCUAUUCAGCAUGGAUGGUCCUUACUAACCAUGGUGUCCCCCUAUCACUGGUGUUUUUCUGAGUGUGUCAUACACUGGGAGUUAAAUAGUGGAAAUGUUCUUUAUUCAGCAUGGAUGGUCCUUACUAACCAUGGUGUCCCCCUAACACUGGUG